GACGAGCGCUGGCGGCGUGCCUAAUACAUGCAAGUAGAACGCUGAAGGAGGAGCUUGCUUCUCUGGAUGAGUUGCGAACGGGUGAGUAACGCGUAGGUAACCUGCCUGGUAGCGGGGGAUAACUAUUGGAAACGAUAGCUAAUACCGCAUAAUAGUAGAUGUUGCAUGACAUUUACUUAAAAGGUGCAAUUGCAUCACUACCAGAUGGACCUGCGUUGUAUUAGCUAGUUGGUGGGGUAACGGCUCACCAAGGCGACGAUACAUAGCCGACCUGAGAGGGGGAUCGGCCACACUGGGACUGAGACACGGCCCAGACUCCUACGGGAGGCAGCAGUAGGGAAUCUUCGGCAAUGGACGAAAGUCUGACCGAGCAACGCCGCGUGAGUGAAGAAGGUUUUCGGAUCGUAAAGCUCUGUUGUAAGAGAAGAACGAGUGUGAGAGUGGAAAGUUCACACUGUGACGGUAUCUUACCAGAAAGGGACGGCUAACUACGUG
rnacentral:rRNA from 1 species